UGUAUCUUUGAGAGGAGCCAUUCCCAUUGC
rnacentral:piRNA from 1 species